AUUGAACGCUGGCGGCAGGCCUAACACAUGCAAGUCGAACGAGUGGCGGACGGGUGAGUAAUGUAUGGGAAACUGCCUGAUGGAGGGGGAUAACUACUGGAAACGGUAGCUAAUACCGCAUACCAUCGGAUGUGCCCAGAUGGGAUUAGCUAGUAGGUGGGGUAAAGGCUCACCUAGGCGACGAUCCCUAGCUGGUCUGAGAGGAUGACCAGCCACACUGGGACUGAGACACGGUCCAGACUCCGACGGGAGGCAGCAGUGGGGAAUAUUGCACAAUGGGCGCAAGCCUGAUGCAGCCAUGCCGCGUGUAUGAAGAAGGCCUUCGGGUUGUAAAGUACUUUCAGCGGGGAGGCGUUACCCGCAGAAGAAGCACCGGCUAACUACGUGCCAGCAGCCGCGGUAAUAC
rnacentral:rRNA from 1 species